UACGGGGGGGGCAAGCGUUGUUCGGAAUUACUGGGCGUAAAGGGCUCGUAGGCGGCCAACUAAGUCAGCCGUGAAAUCCCUCGGCUUAACCGGGGAACUGCGUCUGAUACUGGAUGGCUUGAGAUUGGGAGAGGGAUGCGGAAUUCCAGGUGUAGCGGUGAAAUGCGUAGAUAUCUGGAGGAACACCGGUGGCGAAGGCGGCAUCCUGGACCAACACUGACACUGAGGAGCGAAAGCCAGGGGAGCAAACGGG
rnacentral:rRNA from 1 species